UACGUAGGGUGCAAGCGUUAAUCGGAAUUACUGGGCGUAAAGCGUGCGCAGGCGGCUUUGCAAGACAGAUGUGAAAUCCCCGGGCUUAACCUGGGAACUGCAUUUGUGACUGCAUGGCUCGAGUACGGUAGAGGGGGAUGGAAUUCCGCGUGUAGCAGUGAAAUGCGUAGAUAUGCGGAAGAACACCAAUAACGGCGAAGGCAGUUAACUAUUCUGCUACUGACAUUGAGGCACGAAAGCGUGGGGAGCAAAACGG
rnacentral:rRNA from 1 species